GGAAGCUGCCAAAUCUUGGGGCUCACACCCUCUGAAGCCACAGCUCAAGUUGUACCUUGGUCCCUUUUAGCCACAGCUGGAGCGGCUGGGAUGCAGGGCACAAAGUCCCUAGGAGGAAGAAAUGGACUGCAUUAGAUGGUUGACCACUGAAGAGGUGAUAUCUGAUGUGAGAUUUGAGAAAUACAAAAAGAUAGGGGAAAGACAAGCAAAGGCCCUGGGAGGGGAAACUCUUAAAUUGUGGAAACAGAAAGGAGAGACCUGUAAAUAGUGAAUGGCAGGAGGGAGAGAGUAGUAUGGACAAUAGAUAGAAUGGAAGUCUAGACCAGGCCAGAUUUUGUACUAAUUUGCAAGCUGUGGUAAAGAAUUUGGAUUUAACUUUAAGUCAAAAAGCCAUUUGGAGAAUUUUAAAGAAGUGUACUGAAUUCACAUUUUGUCUGAAUGUGAAUAGCGAAAUGUUAAAAUUAAUACUUCUGGAAUAUAAAAACAUAUCUAAAUGACUAUUGAAAAAUUGGAUUAUUACAAUUUUAUUAUUAAAAGGUUUAGUAGUGUUCAAAGAGAAACUUUAGACAAGUUCAAUUUAAGAAUUUAAUUAAGCAAAAAAUGAUUUGCCAAUUGAGCAGGUCCCCAGAACCAGAAUAGGCUCAGGGAGACUCUGGGGCUGAUACAUGAUCCAAUCAUAUUUAUAGAAAGUGAGGUACAGAAAAUGGAAGUGGGGUACAGAAACAGUUUGAUUGGUUAUAGCUUGGUACUUGUCUUAUUUGAAUAUGGUUUGAACAGUUGGCCACCUAUGAUUGGCUGAAACUACAUGAUUAGUACAAGAGUAAGUUACAGUCUGUUUACACAUCCUGUUAGGUGACAGUUUACUAUAUGUGUAAGGAGGCAGCUUUAACUUAACAAUUCACCCUUUUGGUCACCAUCUCAGUAUAGAGGGUGACCAAAACUUUAGGCAUUAAUGUCAAGGGUUAGAGCAGAGAGGACUUCCUUAUUAGAAUCUCCUGUUUUCAGGAGGAAAAAAAAAAAAAAAAACACUGAUCUGUUUUGGGAUCGAUCUGCUUCCAUAAUGUUUCACUUUGAUUAUGCAGCAUUUAGCAUGAGUGACUCCAUGUUGGUUUGGUUUGGUGUGCUGGGGCCUACUGCAGGAGCUCUGUCUAGAGCAAUGGCUUCCUAUAAUUUUGAAUAAUAAUCCCACCCUUUUGCUCAAGUUCUUACCUAAGUGAGUAUAGCCAAGAUUUAGGGUUUAGCACUUCCAGUUGCCAUCAUUUUGGAUUUCUAGUCACAGCACGUCAUUCAUAGGUGACAGUGUCUUCAUGACCACUCAUUUCUUUGAGUUUUUGUCAUUCCAAUAAAAGGGAGAUCAUUUGACUUUCUACAGAUGGCUAUAUGCAAGCAUUUAAAAUUUUGGAGAAAAUACAGUGCACCAGGGAUACUACUCUUACAAUUAUCAGAAGGAUGAUACCAAGAGUUGGGAGUAUGCUCCCUAGCCAGGGUCCUUAUGAACUAAGCCAACUAAAAUCAAAUAGAUCUAAGAAUCAGCCUGAUAAAGAAUCUUGUUUUAACCAACCAGCCCAUUUGUUAAUCCCCUGCAAGUGAGUCUUUAUAAAACCUGAUGUAUUCAUACAACAAGAAGUGUCAGUAACCGCACAGAUCCUUCCCUGUUCAGUCGAAAAUAAUCUAGAAUAAUUCAGUCAUCUAGCACAACUUUAGCAAGAGAAUUUUUAAAUUCUGUUGUGCAACCAUAGCCUUUGCAGUAAAAUCUUCUAUAAAGUCUGUUACAAAGCACACAUUUCUAAUCAUUGUCUGAUUUAUAUUUACCCCAUGCCACAGAAAAGAAGACCUAACAAUGACGCCCAUCCAUAAAGGUGAAGUCCUCCCGGCAAUGUUCUCUUUAACCUAUGAUAUAUGUUAAGAAGAGUGGACCAAGGUUCUGUUUUUAACUGGUGGCGGAGCAACAAAGGUACCGUUAAAAUUCCUAGUCCAGCUGACCACAGUGGCUCAUGCUUGUAAUCCCAGCACUUUGGGAGGCCAAGGCAUGAGGACUGCUUGAGCCAAGUAGUUCAAGAUCAACCUGGGCAACAUAGUGAGAUCUCAAUUCUACAAAAAAACAAAUAAAUGAAAAA
ensembl:lncRNA